GCGAUUGGGCCCGAGUUUGAUCCUGGCUCAGAACGAACGCUGGCGGCAGGCUUAACACAUGCAAGUCGAACGCGUGUAGCAAUACACGAGUGGCGCACGGGUGAGUAACGCGUGGAUAUCUGCCUUUUGGUUCGGAAUAACCCCGGGAAACUGGGGCUAAUACCGGAUGGUUCCUACGGGAUAAAGAUUUAUCGCCAAAAGAUGAGUCCGCGUACGAUUAGCUAGUUGGUGAGGUAAUGGCUCACCAAGGCGACGAUCGUUAGCUGGUCUGAGAGGACGAUCAGCCACACUGGGACUGAGACACGGCCCAGACUCCUACGGGAGGCAGCAGUGGGGAAUAUUGGACAAUGGGGGCAACCCUGAUCCAGCCAUGCCGCGUGAGUGAUGAAGGCCUUCGGGUUGUAAAGCUCUUUUGGCGGGGACGAUGAUGACGGUACCCGCAGAAUAAGCCCCGGCUAACUUCGUGCCAGCAGCCGCGGUAACCCCUGUGUGAA
rnacentral:rRNA from 1 species